rnacentral:pre_miRNA from 1 species
GGGGGCAGGCUGGAUCCUGGGCUGUGUCCCCCGCGCUCUGUGCUCUCCGGGCCUGCACUGUUGGAAUCGCGCUCCCGGGCCGUGCAGCCCCCU